UACGUAGGGGGCAAGCGUUGUCCGGAAUCAUUGGGCGUAAAGCGCGUGUAGGCGGCUCGGUAAGUCCGCUCUGAAAGUCCAGGGCUCAACCCUGGGAUGCGGGUGGAUACUGCCGGGCUGGAGUCCGGAAGAGGCGAGUGGAAUUCCUGGUGUAGCGGUGAAAUGCGUAGAGAUCAGGAAGAACAUCGGUGGCGAAGGCGCUCUGCUGGACCAUAACUGACAUUCAGGGACGAAAGCUAGGGAGCGAAUGGG
rnacentral:rRNA from 1 species